rnacentral:rRNA from 1 species
GAUGAACGCUGGCGGCGUGCCUAAUACAUGCAAGUAGAACGCUGAAGGAGGAGCUUGCUCUUUCCGGAUGAGUUGCGAACGGGUGAGUAACGCGUAGGUAACCUGCCUGGUAGCGGGGGAUAACUAUUGGAAACGAUAGCUAAUACCGCAUAACAGUAGAUAUUGCAUGAUAUCUGCUUGAAAGGGGCAAUUGCUCCACUACCAGAUGGACCUGCGUUGUAUUAGCUAGUUGGUGAGGUAACGGCUCACCAAGGCGACGAUACAUAGCCGACCUGAGAGGGUGAUCGGCCACACUGGGACUGAGACACGGCCCAGACUCCUACGGGAGGCAGCAGUAGGGAAUCUUCGGCAAUGGACGGAAGUCUGACCGAGCAACGCCGCGUGAGUGAAGAAGGUUUUCGGAUCGUAAAGCUCUGUUGUAAGAGAAGAACGAGUGUGAGAGUGGAAAGUUCACACUGUGACGGUAUCUUACCAGAAAGGGACGGCUAACUACGUGCCAGCAGCCGCGGUAAUACGUAGGUCCCGAGCGUUAUCCGGAUUUAUUGGGCGUAAAGCGAGCGCAGGCGGUUAGAUAAGUCUGAAGUUAAAGGCUGUGGCUUAACCAUAGUACGCUUUGGAAACUGUUUAACUUGAGUGCAAGAGGGGAGAGUGGAAUUCCAUGUGUAGCGGUGAAAUGCGUAGAUAUAUGGAGGAACACCGGUGGCGAAAGCGGCUCUCUGGCUUGUAACUGACGCUGAGGCUCGAAAGCGUGGGGAGCAAACAGG